AUAACCGGCGAUUUCCGAAUGGGGAAACCCAGUGUGUUUCGACACACUAUCAUUAACUGAAUCCAUAGGUUAAUGAGGCGAACCGGGGGAACUGAAACAUCUAAGUACCCCGAGGAAAAGAAAUCAACCGAGAUUCCCCCAGUAGCGGCGAGCGAACGGGGAGGAGCCCAGAGCCUGAAUCAGUGUGUGUGUUAGUGGAAGCGUCUGGAAAGGCGUGCGAUACAGGGUGACAGCCCCGUACACAAAAAUGCACAUAUUGUGAGCUCGAUGAGUAGGGCGGGACACGUGGUAUCCUGUCUGAAUAUGGGGGGACCAUCCUCCAAGGCUAAAUACUCCUGACUGACCGAUAGUGAACCAGUACCGUGAGGGAAAGGCGAAAAGAACCCCGGCGAGGGGAGUGAAAAAGAACCUGAAACCGUGUACGUACAAGCAGUGGGAGCCUCUUUAUGGGGUGACUGCGUACCUUUUGUAUAAUGGGUCAGCGACUUAUAUUCUGUAGCAAGGUUAACCGAAUAGGGGAGCCGAAGGGAAACCGAGUCUUAACUGGGCGUUAAGUUGCAGGGUAUAGACCCGAAACCCGGUGAUCUAGCCAUGGGCAGGUUGAAGGUUGGGUAACACUAACUGGAGGACCGAACCGACUAAUGUUGAAAAAUUAGCGGAUGACUUGUGGCUGGGGGUGAAAGGCCAAUCAAACCGGGAGAUAGCUGGUUCUCCCCGAAAGCUAUUUAGGUAGCGCCUCGUGAAUUCAUCUCCGGGGGUAGAGCACUGUUUCGGCAAGGGGGUCAUCCCGACUUACCAACCCGAUGCAAACUGCGAAUACCGGAGAAUGUUAUCACGGGAGACACACGGCGGGUGCUAACGUCCGUCGUGAAGAGGGAAACAACCCAGACCGCCAGCUAAGGUCCCAAAGUCAUGGUUAAGUGGGAAACGAUGUGGGAAGGCCCAGACAGCCAGGAUGUUGGCUUAGAAGCAGCCAUCAUUUAAAGAAAGCGUAAUAGCUCACUGGUCGAGUCGGCCUGCGCGGAAGAUGUAACGGGGCUAAACCAUGCACCGAAGCUGCGGCAGCGACACUAUGUGUUGUUGGGUAGGGGAGCGUUCUGUAAGCCUGUGAAGGUGGCCUGUGAGGGUUGCUGGAGGUAUCAGAAGUGCGAAUGCUGACAUAAGUAACGAUAAAGCGGGUGAAAAGCCCGCUCGCCGGAAGACCAAGGGUUCCUGUCCAACGUUAAUCGGGGCAGGGUGAGUCGACCCCUAAGGCGAGGCCGAAAGGCGUAGUCGAUGGGAAACAGGUUAAUAUUCCUGUACUUGGUGUUACUGCGAAGGGGGGACGGAGAAGGCUAUGUUGGCCGGGCGACGGUUGUCCCGGUUUAAGCGUGUAGGCUGGUUUUCCAGGCAAAUCCGGAAAACCAAGGCUGAGGCGUGAUGACGAGGCACUACGGUGCUGAAGCGACAAAUGCCCUGCUUCCAGGAAAAGCCUCUAAGCAUCAGGUAACAUCAAAUCGUACCCCAAACCGACACAGGUGGUCAGGUAGAGAAUACCAAGGCGCUUGAGAGAACUCGGGUGAAGGAACUAGGCAAAAUGGUGCCGUAACUUCGGGAGAAGGCACGCUGAUAUGUAGGUGAAGCGACUUGCUCGUGGAGCUGAAAUCAGUCGAAGAUACCAGCUGGCUGCAACUGUUUAUUAAAAACACAGCACUGUGCAAACACGAAAGUGGACGUAUACGGUGUGACGCCUGCCCGGUGCCGGAAGGUUAAUUGAUGGGGUUAGCGGUAACGCGAAGCUCUUGAUCGAAGCCCCGGUAAACGGCGGCCGUAACUAUAACGGUCCUAAGGUAGCGAAAUUCCUUGUCGGGUAAGUUCCGACCUGCACGAAUGGCGUAAUGAUGGCCAGGCUGUCUCCACCCGAGACUCAGUGAAAUUGAACUCGCUGUGAAGAUGCAGUGUACCCGCGGCAAGACGGAAAGACCCCGUGAACCUUUACUAUAGCUUGACACUGAACAUUGAGCCUUGAUGUGUAGGAUAGGUGGGAGGCUUUGAAGUGUGGACGCCAGUCUGCAUGGAGCCGACCUUGAAAUACCACCCUUUAAUGUUUGAUGUUCUAACGUUGGCCCGUAAUCCGGGUUGCGGACAGUGUCUGGUGGGUAGUUUGACUGGGGCGGUCUCCUCCUAAAGAGUAACGGAGGAGCACGAAGGUUGGCUAAUCCUGGUCGGACAUCAGGAGGUUAGUGCAAUGGCAUAAGCCAGCUUGACUGCGAGCGUGACGGCGCGAGCAGGUGCGAAAGCAGGUCAUAGUGAUCCGGUGGUUCUGAAUGGAAGGGCCAUCGCUCAACGGAUAAAAGGUACUCCGGGGAUAACAGGCUGAUACCGCCCAAGAGUUCAUAUCGACGGCGGUGUUUGGCACCUCGAUGUCGGCUCAUCACAUCCUGGGGCUGAAGUAGGUCCCAAGGGUAUGGCUGUUCGCCAUUUAAAGUGGUACGCGAGCUGGGUUUAGAACGUCGUGAGACAGUUCGGUCCCUAUCUGCCGUGGGCGCUGGAGAACUGAGGGGGGCUGCUCCUAGUACGAGAGGACCGGAGUGGACGCAUCACUGGUGUUCGGGUUGUCAUGCCAAUGGCACUGCCCGGUAGCUAAAUGCGGAAGAGAUAAGUGCUGAAAGCAUCUAAGCACGAAACUUGCCCCGAGAUGAGUUCUCCCUGACUCCUUGAGAGUCCUGAAGGAACGUUGAAGACGACGACGUUGAUAGGCCGGGUGUGUAAGCGCAGCGAUGCGUUGAGCUAACCGGUACUAAUGAACCGUGAGGCUUAACCUU
rnacentral:rRNA from 3 species